GCUCCAAGGACAUUCCAUUCUCAGGGAACCAUGACUGAUUAUUGAAAUGAAUAAUUUCCUUCAUGUGAUGACCAGAGUCCAAAAUUGGAUGAAUUGAUGUUCAAAACACUCCACAUGUACUAGUAAUAAAAGAGGAAGAGAUUUUCUCUUCUUACUGCACAUUGAGCCUCAGGUCUCAUCCCAAAGAUACCUGCAUAUGCAACCAGUCCAGAACAAUCAUUUAGUAAAAGUUUGAGCC
rnacentral:lncRNA from 1 species